rnacentral:rRNA from 1 species
GUGUCAGCAGCCGCGGUAAUACGGAGGGAUCGAACGUUAAUCGGAAUUACUGGGCGUAAAGCGCGCGUAGGUGGUUUGGUAAGCGGGAUGUGAAAGCCCCGGGCUCAACCUGGGAAUUGCAUUUCGAACUGCCAGACUAGAGUGCGGUAGAGGGAGGUGGAAUUUCCUGUGUAGCGGUGAAAUGCGUAGAUAUAGGAAGGAACACCAGUGGCGAAGGCGGCCUCCUGGACCGACACUGACACUGAGGUGCGAAAGCGUGGGGAGAAAACAGGAUUAGAUACCCUGGUAGUCCACGCCGUAAACGAUGAGAACGAGCCGUUGGGCUCCUUGAGGGCUUAGUGGCGCAGCUAACGCGAUAAGUUCUCCGCCUGGGGAGUACGGCCGCAAGGUUAAAACUCAAAUGAAUUGACGGGG